ensembl:lncRNA
GGCAGCGGCCGGAAUUCCCCAAUUCCCAAAAAUCCCCAGAAACCCGGAAAAAUGGGAAUGGCAGCGGCCAAAAUUCCCCAAUUCCCGGGAAAAUGGGAAUGUUAGGGACCAAAAUUCCCCAAUUCCCAGAAGUCCCAGAUGCCCACAGCCCCAGAUUCCCAAAAACCCGGAAAAAUGGGAAUGGUAGAAAUCAAAUUCCCAAAUUCCUGGGAAAAUGGGAAUGGCAGCAGUCAAAAUUCCCAAAUUCUCAGAGAAUUCCUGGAAAAUUCCCAGCAUUCCCAGAGAAAUCCCAGAAUUCCCAAAUUCCCAAAUCCCCAGAAUUCCCAGACAAUUCCCAGCAUUCCCAAAUCCCCGGACAAUCCCAGAUAGUUCCCGGACAAUUCUGAGACAAUUCCCAGAAUCCCGGCAUUCCCAAAUCCCCAGACAACCCCAGAAUUCCUGGACAAUUCCCAGAGAAUUCCCAGCAUUCCCAAAUCCCCAGAUAAUCCCAGAAUUCCCAGAUAAUUCCCGGGGCAUUCCCGGUGUUCCCAAUUCCCCAGACAACCCCAGAAUUCCCGGACAAUUCCUGGCGUUCCCAAAUCCCCGGAUCAUUCCCGGACAAUCCCCAGACAAUUCCCGGCGUUCCCAAAUCCCCCGGCAUUCCCGCAAUUCCCAGACAAUUCCCGGUGUUCCCAAAUCCCCCGUCAUUCCCAUCAUUCCCAUGGAAUUCCCAUCAUUCCCGUCGUUCCCAUGGAAUUCCCGCCGUCAUUCCCGCCGUCAUUCCCGCUGUCGUUCCCGUCAUUCCCGUUGUCAUUCCCAUGGAAUUCCCGUCAUUCCCAUGGAAUUCCCGCCGUCAUUCCCGCCGUCAUUCCCUUCGUCAUUCCUGCCGUCGUUCCCGUCAUUCCCGUUGUCAUUCCCGUUGUCAUUCCCAUGGAAUUCCCGUCAUUCCCGUUGUCAUUCCCAUGGAAUUCCCGUUGUCAUUCCCGUUGUCAUUCCCAUUGUCAUUCCCGUUGUCAUUCCCAUGGAAUUCCCGCCGUCGUUCCCGUCAUUCCCGUUGUCAU